rnacentral:rRNA from 1 species
UUUUAUGGAGAGUUUGAUCCUGGCUCAGAGUGAACGCUGGCGGCGUGCCUAAUACAUGCAAGUCGAACGAUGAAGCUUCUAGCUUGCUAGAAGUGGAUUAGUGGCGCACGGGUGAGUAACGCAUAGGUCAUGUGCCUCUUAGUUUGGGAUAGCCAUUGGAAACGAUGAUUAAUACCAGAUACUCCCUACGGGGGAAAGAUUUAUCGCUAAGAGAUCAGCCUAUGUCCUAUCAGCUUGUUGGUAAGGUAAUGGCUUACCAAGGCUAUGACGGGUAUCCGGCCUGAGAGGGUGAACGGACACACUGGAACUGAGACACGGUCCAGACUCCUACGGGAGGCAGCAGU